GACGAACGCUGGCGGCGUGCUUAACACAUGCAAGUCGUACGGUAAGGCCCUUUCGGGGGUACACGAGUGGCGAACGGGUGAGUAACACGUGAGUAACCUGCCCACAACUUUGGGAUAACGCUAGGAAACUGGUGCUAAUACUGGAUAUGUGCUCCUGCUGCAUGGUGGGGGUUGGAAAGCUCCGGCGGUUGUGGAUGGACUCGCGGCCUAUCAGCUUGUUGGUGGGGUAGUGGCCUACCAAGGCGGCGACGGGUAGCCGGCCUGAGAGGGUGACCGGCCACAUUGGGACUGAGAUACGGCCCAGACUCCUACGGGAGGCAGCAGUGGGGAAUAUUGCACAAUGAGCGCAAGCCUGAUGCAGCAACGCCGCGUGCGGGAUGACGGCCUUCGGGUUGUAAACCGCUUUCAGCAGGGACGAAGCUUUUUGUGACGGUACCUGCAGAAGAAGCACCGGCUAACUACGUG
rnacentral:rRNA from 1 species